AAUGCUCGAAUUCCAAGCAUGUGCCACCACGCCCAGUAGUUUUGAUUCACAUAUAGGAACUGUCCGAGCUUGUGUACCGUUGGUUGUAUAAAUACCAUGCGGUUCCCACGCUGUGGACAGUGCUGGGGAUGGCACAGGGCCUCCUGAACUUGGAAUUGUCCCUGCUGAGCUGCUACCCCAGCUCCAGUGCCAGGUUUCAGUCCAGGUGGACAUUGUGUUCCGACCCAGUCAGGGUAGUUAGCAUCUGUCGCCUUUGGUGCCAUGCACGAUCCUGCAGCUCUUUAGAAAUCCAGUCCUCAGUGCUGGCUGUGAUCACCCUGCACUCGUUCCUCCUGAGCAGUUUCACACCCAUGGGCAGCUUCUCCCCUCCUGUCUAGCCUCUGGUACCCAUUUGUCCACUCUCAACUUCUCUGAGACCUGCUUUUCAGACUCCACUUGUGCGUGUAUCUGGUUUAAUGACCUCAGUUCCCUCCGUGAUGCCACAAAUGCCAGGAUGCCAUCCCUCUUCACAGCUGCAUAUUAUUCCACAAUGAGCAUGUACCACGUUUUCCUAGCCUUUCAUUGGCCUAUGGACACCUAUGUUAAUUUUAUCUCACCCAACAGCGCGGGCUUUGAGGCUGAGUGGUGGUUCUGCUUUCUGAACUCUAUGUCCUUGGCUCUGGUUACAGAGUCACUGAGACUUCUCUGUGGGGAAUGAACACACUCCUGCCCCUGCGAGGGGCUUUCCAGGCUCCCCGAAGUCUGGGCCACUGCCGGGCCUCGGUGACUGUCUGGUUUUCCCCUGGUGUCCUAGAAAAUGCUCACCUCAGCAGCUCAGUGUCCCAUUGGACAGGAUGCUGGGCUGGUGAGGCUGCAGGACCCUGACAUCCACUGUGUCCCCAAGGGGGUGGGACCUUCCCAUGCCUUUGAUGUGCAGCCCCUCCCCUGACAGCCGAUGGGGGCUGGGGAGGGGGCUCCAGCCCUUCCCACCUCCCUAACGGAAGCCAUGGUUUCCAGCAGGGAGGGAAGCAGCUGAGGCAGGCGGGUUUUGCAGAGCGAGCGAUUUCUCUUAACUUCCUGACAUGGGAAGGGAAUGGGGACAUGGGGGAGCAUGAGGCCUCGAAGCGGUGCAGGGGAGGGCAGAAGCCACACCUGGCCCUGAAGAAUCCCUGCAAGGCGACGGUCACAGAGUGCAGCUGGCUUGGACCUGGCCUCGGCCGCCUUGCUCUGCAGCUGCAGCUCCUGGGCCCCUCCCAGGAGAAUCGGGGGAUCCUUGCUGCAGGCCUGUGUCCCCAUCCUUGGUCUUUGUGUCCCUGUGGCCCCCAGCCCUGUCCAGCAGGUGGUGGUGGUGGUCUGGCACAGGCUGGCACUGCAGGGAGGCAGAGGAGCAAAGAAAGGUCUGUGCCUGGCCCUGAGAUGGUAGACUGCUGCCCAUUCUGCGGUGCCUGCAGCUGACCAUGAGGGAAGGCUGGGUUUGGGUCCCUAUUAGGGUUUGAUCUUGCUGCCCCCAGAGCCUCCUGUGCUCGAGCAUUAGAGGGUGCCAGGCAGAACUGCUCUUAGGAGGCCUGAUUGGAGGAGGCCGUCCUGGGCCGGGCCUGAAGGAGCUGUCUCUCGGCGCCUCACUUCUGCUUCCUGUUCGCCCUGAGACCCAGGGAAGGGUCUCAGCUUUCUUCAUGUGCACUCCGAAUUGACCAGACCUCCUGAACGGCACCGGUCUCCCCCACCUCCUCUUCCAUGGACCUGUCUCCCUUGUGGACCCCAACAUUUCCAGGGCCCUCGCCCUCCAGCCCAGCGCUAAUUGCUGCGAUGGCCUCCAGGAGUCCUGUAGAACCAGCAGCCUUGCCACUGCUGCCCUGGGCUCCUGACAAUUAAAUGCAAUUUAGAUUCCUGCACUGAGCCCGCUCCAAGGCCCCUCCCCGCCCUGCGGGAGGAAAGAAGCCGUUUCAGGUGAAGACAAGGCUGUCUGACUGGCCU